rnacentral:lncRNA from 1 species
GGCUUAUCCAAUCAGAUCUUUAAAACUUUCAAAGGUGGAGACUCUCUGGGUAUGUGUUGCUCCUACAUGGCCCCAAAGCCAACUCCUUCAGCAGGCUGAACAAGCUUAGCAAUCUUCUGCCUCUCCUCAAAGAUAUGUGUUCCAGCUCAUUGUGGCAUUCCUGUGGUGUACUUGAUCCAGAAAUGGAUGCUGAAACUUGCACAGGUCUUCCAGACUCCAGAGAUGGACUCUGCAAGAAACACGAUCCUCUUCUAUUUCUUCUUCUCUAGGAGUGGAGUGAUUGUCUUCUGCCCAGUGGAGAGUGGAAACAGCAAUUAUUUAUUUAUUUAUUUAUUUAUUUAUUUAUUUAUUUAUGUGGGAGGAGUGUACGUGUUUCUACGUCACAGUAGAAUGGAAUUUAUAUAAAUGCUUCCAAUUUAUCAGCAAGCAUAUGAGUACCCUGAAAGGCCUAGUUGAUUUAAAUGAUCAGUUUCUCUUUCCCUUUGAUUUGAGGGCUAAUGUCUGUUUUCUAAAUGUCAUAUUGGAUGGUUAUCCACUGUAAUACUGACUCUGAAAAUGCCUAUACUAUAUAUGUAUGGUUGUAACUUUUUAAGUUACAUGAUUAAACUUUAUUUUUACAUUAAUUCUGGCACUUCAGUCUUCUAGUCUGUGUGUUUACAGGCAACCCUGGUCAUAAGGCCCUUGGUACCCAGGAAACAUCACCAUAAAAAGUCAUGUUCAUUGCCUUUCCUGAUGAGGGACAGCAUUGAAGCAGGAUUUGAUUAAAAUACCUAAAGAAAAACUAGUAAUUAUGGCAAGUAAGGAGAUGUCCUCAGAAUUGUUUUGUAACUGGAAGAAGGUAUCAGGGUCUUGGUGAGAACUAUUUCUCUUCCUUACAAAACUUUUCUUAGUAAUGGGUUUCAGGUAAAAUGAAUAAGGAUUCUAGAAUAUGAUUUGCAUUACUCAUUAUUUGCAAGUGAGAAUAUUUAUUUAUUUAUUUAUUUUUCCAGAAGGGACGACAUUACAAAGUGAUGUGGCUUGUGGAAAAAUCUGAAUUUAAAUUAUCUUGCAUU